CGGAAGUAGCUCAGUUGGUAGAGCGUCUGCCUUCCAAGCAGGCUGUCGCGAGUUCGAGUCUCGUCUUCCG
rnacentral:tRNA from 1 species